GCCGGGUGUGGUAGCACAUGCCUAUAAUCCCAGAGACUUAGGAGGCUGAGGCAGGGGGAUUGAAAGUUUGAGGCCAGAAUGAGCAACUUAGCAAGGCUUUAAGCAACUUAGUGAGACCCUGUUUCUA
rnacentral:sRNA from 1 species